ACCCGGAGAAUGUUCGAAUUUCGAACAUAAACAAAAACAACCCUAUUUUCCCUCGUUUCUCUCGAAUGGUGAUGCCGGUCUCCAUCAGACAACCACGUGUGUGAGAGUUUUUCCGGAAAAGCGUGAGCGCACCACCGCUCGCUCUGGUCGACAAAACCGGACUCGGUAUGAAUGCAUCCCGUUGGUCGACAUCCACUCCAGCCAGCCAGGAUGGAGGCGGUGUGGCAAAGAGUGACCCCAAUGUUCAACAGUUCUUCGCGAGCGGUCACCGUGCAAACACGUCGGUUCGGAUUACGGGCGAUCCAGUCAGUGGUGUCAUAUUGGUUAUUUUCAUAUGCUCUACUAGAGUAGGAUGGAAAUUGUGGAAAGGAAGUGUCUAUUUGCGAUCGAAGUGAUUUUUGGAAAGUAUUGUUCAACGUGGUCGUUUGAUUGAGUUAGCAAAUGUGAAGGUUGCCAGAAAGCUACCUGCCUCUUGGGAAACCAGUUGACCAGUUUUGGAAAUGUGAUGGGUGAGGUCGUGGUGGGUGUAUAGUUACAAAGCGGAAGUGAGACAGUGGAAGCGGAUGAUACUUGUUGAUUUAUUCGGAAGCGAAGAAGAGUUCUGUGUGGGUUGAUGGUAAACACUCAAAGUGUUGAAUGGAAAGCAUGGAUUAAAGUGAACGUGCUGCGCUCUCCGGAAAUAUUACUAUCCGUGAUGCGGAAGGAUUAGUGAAUCUAAUUACAUGAAGCACGCUAACACACAUAUGGCACAGUCGUGAGUGAGAAAAAUUCUGUUUUUCGAGGACAAAUCCCUCUGCCACUGACUGUGUGUAGGAAGCUAUGACGGUGAUGACCAUUUUUACAGCCCAAUAGAGGCCUCGCGUCAUAUAUCGUCGUCCUUGGCGUCGCAUAUGCCAAGUGUGCCGCCACAAUUGGAUGUGAUUUGCUGGUACUCAGCGGAAAACGAAACGUAUCAUCGCCUAAAGGAGGCACGGAGAGGCAUAGCAUAAGUCGUGCUCUAGUGCAGUUGUGUUGGAUCUCCCGGGCUGGUGUCAGCCAUCAGCUAAUAGGAUUUGGGAUUAACGUUUACUGGGAGUGUGUGUUCUUGGGAAUCGAGAGCUGCGGAAUUGUGUGACGGCGGAGUUGAAUUCCCGGGAUAUGAAGGAGAAUUGUAACGGCCUGAAGCCGAUGAUCUGGAAAUAAGAGACGUGUCACGCAGCAUCCCUACGACGUCGACAGACUCACACAAAAAAGAGCGGCGAAUAAAACCAUCGGGCAUCAAGCUAGACUGAGUGGAAAACUUCCACAACAUAAAAAAAAGCCUAGCAUAUCACACAAGAAAAAAAAACAGCCCCACCGGAAACAAGAUAAAAAUUCUGCUCAAGUUAUUUGUCCAUAACUGGUACGCUUGCCCUUAAGAAUUAAACAAUCUAAGUUCAAGAGCGAGUAUCUAAAGUGUGAUAGGAAAAGCGAAAAUAAAACUUGAACAGGAAGAGUUUUUACAAAUAAUUAAGUGCAAGUUGAAGGAAACAAAGAAUACCAGUGAAAAUCUCGACGAUAACAGUCUCCACCUGGGCCAAAGUGUUUGUGGCUAAAAAGUUUCAAGUAGUUCAAGAAUCCGCUGCCACAGCAGCUCCACAGAACAAGUUAAGAAAAAUAGAUAAAAUUGCAACGAGUUCAACGGCAAUAAGCGAAAAGGAAAAACGGCCCACCACAGGUCGGUCCAACGUCAGACAUAGUGGCGGACUACGAAGAGCUGAGCACCCUAUCGCAGGACCUUUUCGGCGAGUUCGAGAACAGCACCGAGUUUGCAUGUUACCUGCAGGCGCACCUGGAUGC